rnacentral:tRNA from 1 species
CGCGCGUUGGCGCUCAGGAAGCGCGCGCUGUUGUCGCCAGUGCCGUUGCUGCCGCGCAGGCUCAGGUCCAGGCGCGCGCC